UGUAGGUCCUGGUGUGCUCCUUUGCUUGGCCAACCAAACAGUUUUCUUCUUUCGCUUUCACCCGACUUGUGUCUCAUUGUGGCGCCAAGCGAGACCUGCAGGUCCAGUAACAUAUUUUGGCGAACCGGCCAGGAGCCUACUGCUUGGUGUUCAGGGCGUGCCGGUCCCGACCCAGUGAGGACCUCAGCAACCAGAUAUGGAACUGCUUGUUCAGUCUGGACCCCUCUUCGGACUCUGAGGGGGACACGCUCCAAACCCAGUGGUGACUCUGGAAAGCCAGGGAAGAAAUCUGCAAUAAUCAGGGAACCAAGAAAGAUGGUCCGUGAAUGGAUCACUGAACCGAAACACCAUCCUUCAGCUAGAUUUAUUUUAUACAAGAAAUGACUGUCAAUCUCUCUUAAGCACCCUCCUCUCCCUGGAGGAGAGGCAGAUGGUCCUAGACAGGGCCUGAGAGGAAGCCCAGACACGACAUGAUGCUCAGCUGACUGGAGAUACAGUUGAUGACAUCUUCCCCUUGAGACCCCUGCUGGGCUCACAGUCACACAGCAGAGUAUGGUAUGCUCACCCAUUAUCGAGACUGUCUUUUAGUGGGUCUUAAAAAUGGAGUACCUAAGCUCUUAAACUGGAAUAAGGUGUAUGAGAUUAAACAGCAUAAAGAUGAGAAUCCUUCAACUUUCCUCGAAAGGAUCUGUAGAGCCUUUAGACAAUAUACUGAUCAGGAUCUGGAGGACCCAGCAAAUGCUCAGAUGGUCAAUAGUAUUUUUAUAGGACAAUAUGUCCUGAACAUUGGGAAAAAACUUCAUACGAUAGAUGGGGCAGUAACUAUGAGUGUCGAAUACCUGGUCAAGAUGGCAUUCAAGGCCUAUAACAACAGGGAAGACAGACAGAAAGUGCCAGAUUGCCCAAUUAGCAGCAGCAGUACAGGCUAGGCCCCCUGAAAGGAGAAGACCUGCGGGCCACCCUAGCAGGGCCUGACUCCAGCCCCCACUGUGAAGGAACCAGUGUGCAUAUUGUAAGGAAGAGGGCCACUGGAAAAAAGAGGGUCCCAAGAAAAAGAGCAGGCAAUGAGUAACUCAAAUGCCAGCCCUCACUCUGGAGGAAGAUUCUGACUAGGGCGGACUGGGGGCAGGACCUUGGCCUGAACCUCUGGUUAUAAUGAAUGUAGAGGGAAAACCUACUCAAUCUUUAGUUGAUACUGGAGCUACACACUUGGUCUUCUCCAUACCAGUUGGACCUCUGUCCAGACAUAAGAUCCCAGUAGUUGGGGUAGCAGGUAAGGAGGACACCCACCCAUUUCUUCAGCUUCUUACCUGCUCCCUCCUCGGCAAAGUGAGAACUCUGAAUCACUCUUUCCUGUAUAUGCCUGAUUGCCCUGUCCCAUUGUUAUGCUGAGAUUUAUUAAAUAAAUUGCAGGCCGAAAUACACACAGAUGCAUGUUCAAGUUCCAGUAGAACGGGUGGAAAUCACACUUGCUGUUGUGUUCUGCUCCGCAAAAUCAGGAACAAGAAACAAUCUGUUUUCCUUGUCAAGCCAUGAUGGCAAAGAUUAACCCGGUAGUGUGGGCCACUCAAAGACCAGGCAGGGCACACAGUGCAGUUCCAGUAAAGGUUGAGCUACUGUCAAGAGUAACCUCAUCUAGGUUAAAACAAUACCCAAUAGGACAAGAGGCUUGGUUGGUGGUAUGGACUUUAAUACAGAGAUAUUUAGAAUUUGGACUGCUAAGGCCCUGCAUAUCUGCCUUUAACACUGCCAUCCUGCCUGUGAAGAAGAAAGAUGGCUCCUAUUGAUUCAUCCAAGAUCUGUGCACCAUUAACCAGGUAACGGUAACAGUACACCCCACCGUGGCUAAUCCUUAUACCUUGCUUUCGACACUAUUACCUGCUUGGAAAUUUUUCUCAGUCUUAGAUUUAAAGGAUGCUUUCUUCUGUAUGGUUGCUAUGAGUCUGAAUUGACUCGACGGCAACAGGGUUGGUUGUUUUUGGUUUUCUUCUGUGUGCCCUUGGAUUCCAGUAGCCAAGAGAUUUUUGCCUUUGAAUGGGAAGACCCAUGCACUAGACCGAAACAACAAUAUUGCUGGCAGGUUCUGCCUCAGGGCUUUAAAAACAGUCCGACUCUGUUUGGAACCACCCUGGCCCGAGAGCUCCAACGGCUGACACUGACAGAUGGCACCCUUGUUGCAGUAUGUGGAUGACUUAUUGAUUGCCAGCUCUGACGAGUUCAGCUGUGCAGAGAACACUGUGACUGUGUUAAACUUUUUGGCAGAGGCCAGGUAUAGGUUGUCAAAAGAAAAUGCCCAAAUGGUCUAGCAGAAGGUCACUUAUUUGGGGUUUAUCAUCAGUGGGGGAAAGCGGGAGCUGUAUCCAAACAGGAAAGAAGCUAUAUGUAGACUAACACCCCCAGAGAAGCAGAAACAGCUUCAAGGGUUCCAGGGGAUGGCAGGCUUCUACAGGAUACGUAUCCCUAAUUUCGGGCUACUUGCCAAGCCGCUCGAUGCCCUCCUAGAAGGAAAAGAGACAGGCCUGUUUCUUUGCACCAAACAAGAAUGAACAGUAUUCGCAUGGGUUAAAAAGGCCCUACUAGAGGCCCCAGUGUUAGGACUCCCAGACUUGCAUAAACCUUUCGGUCUUUUUGUGCACAAGCAUCAGGGCAUAGCUGUGGGAGUCCUCACCCAAAAUCUGUGCUCCUGGAGGCAACUGGUAGCUUACUUUUCCAAGACUAUGGACCAAUCACCCGUGGGUGGCCAGUGUGUCUUAAAGUGGUAACAGCUACUGUACAGGUCCUGAAGACAGCCGAAAAGAUAACCUUGGGCCAAACUAUUCAAAUUCAUGCCCCUCAUUUAGCACUCACUAUCCUGGAACAAAGGGGGAGUCAUUGGCUAUCCCAGAGUUGAAUAACUCCAUACCAGGCCUCUCUGGUUGACAAUCCCAAUGUGUUGGCCCAAUCUGCUGUCGCUCUAAAUCCGACCACCCUUCUCCCCACUCUGCCCUGGGAGACCCCAUCCACUGUGACUAUGUCCAGAUGGUGGACCUGGAAUAUGCCAGCUGCCCAUAACUACAAGAUCAACCUCUAGUGGACGCUGACUUAGAGAUCUUCACAGAUGGAAGUAGCUUCGUAGAGGGUGGCCCAUGGAGAGUGGGCUUCACAAUUGUCAGCCACGCAGAGGUCCUUGAAGUGAACACUCUCCCCAACAGAACCUUGGCCCAAAGGGCUGAGCUGGUUGCGAUGAUCCAGGCUUUGCGCCUGGCCAAGUCCAAGUGAGUGACCAUUUACACGGACUCAAAGUACGUAUUUUCAGUUCUACAUGCACACGGGGCUUUGUGGAAGCAGAAGGGGCUUUUGAAUUCAGCCAAUAAAGAAAUCAAAUACGGCCAACGGAUUUUACAGCUCCUUGAGGCGGUGUUACUCCCUGCUGCUCUGGCUGUGGUACACUGCAAGAGACAUCAGCAGGGAGAGACAGCAGUGGCCCAGGGCAACCGAAAGGCUGACUUAGAGGCCAAGCAGGUAGAAAAACAAUAACCUCAGUAGUAGCUGCUGCCCUCUUCCCACACCCUAGCUUGCCACAAGCCACGGAAAACCCUGGUUACAGUGAAAAAGACCUUUAUGUGGCCAAUCAGUGGCAGCUUCAGAAAAAGGAUAAGUGUUUCUGCACAAAGGAUGGGAGGCUAUUCAUUCCACAACGUGGGAUUCCCGGCAUCCUAAAGCACCUACAUGUGACUACCCAUUACAGGCGGGAAGCAAUGUAUGAUUGGGUAAAGAGACACUUUGUUGGCCAGAAUUUGCAGGCUAUUAUCAGAGACAUUAAUAGACAAUGUGUCACCUGUCAGAAAAACAACCCCAAGAACUUCUCAGCCGCACCAGUGGGGACCCAGUACCAAGGAUAUGUUCCAGGAGAAGAUUGGCAGAUAGACUUCACUAAGAUGCCCCGGGAUCCAGGUAAUUACAAGUAUCUGCUAGUGUUUAUAGACACCUUUUCCAAUUCGGUUGAAGCAUUCCCCUGCAGGACUGAAAAGGCCACAGAAGUUGCCAAAAGACUGCUGGAAGACAUCAUCCCCAGGUUUGACCUUUGCCAAACCAUUGGGAGUGACAACAGAACACAUUUUACUGCUCAGGUCACGCAACUUGUAGCCCGACAGCUGGGGAUUAAGUGGUGUCUUCACAGUGCGUGAAGAACCCAAUCCUGUGAAAAAUAGAAUGAACCAGACUAUUAAAACUCUUUUGUUCAAACUUUGCCAGGAGACCAAAUUUACUUGUGUUAAGGCCCUUCCCUUGGCUCUGUUCAGGAUUAGAGCUGCACCUUGAGCCAAACUUAAGGUAAGCUUUUUGAGCUUAUGUAUGGGCAUCCCCUCCCCUGUAACUUUUGGGAGGGCUUAAGUACUUUGAAUCCUGGAAACAUUCUGGAGGGUGAAAACAUGCAUGAGCAAGGCCAGCUCAUUAUUAAAGAAUAUUUGUAUUCUGUGGCGGGGAUGCUUGACUCUCUUCACAGGUACAUGACGUGGUAGAUUCUUCCACAACCCGAAGUCCCUCUCCACAUUUCGAAGCCUGAUAGCUAGACAUAUGUCAACACCUGGAAUGCUGCAGAUCUGGCAGAAAGAUGGAGAGGACCUUUUGAGGUGUUGACGUCAACCCCUACUGCAGUCAAGCUCGCCGGAAAGGGAGGGUGGAUCUACCACUAUCGCAUCAGACCGGCUCCCACUCCCUAUAUCGACCAACAAACCCUGCAAAACAGACCCUUUGUCACGGUGGCCCUGCUGCUUAUAUUCGGGCCUUGUGUGUUUAACAUUUUAGUAAAGUUUGUGUCUUCCAGGCUCCAGAAGUUCCAUCUGCAGAUGAUGUUACAACAGGGAUAUUGCCCCAUCUCCCCCGAACCGGUUACAGCCAGAGUCCAGUUCUAUGCCAGCACCCCUAGCCAACAUGAAGUAGUUACAGAAGAAUGACCUCUGGCCCAUGUCCCCAUCUGGCCCAGGAUUUGGACCUUAUACAGGAUCCAAAUCCUGAAAAGAAAAGGAGGGAGUGAGAUGGGCAGCCACCAGAUGGCAGCUGGGAGAGCUAAGCUGCCGUUUUCCCUCCGUCGCGGCCCCAGCGUGACUGUGCUGACCCAAUGACGCUGGCAUCAUCACGGGAGCUGUCCACCAAUCCUGAUGGACCACGCUCCUGAACACACUCUGAAGAAGAGCCCACCCCUACUCUGUUUCCU